rnacentral:rRNA from 1 species
GAUGAACGCUGGCGGCGUGCUUAACACAUGCAAGUCGAACGGAAAGGCCCAAGCUUGCUUGGGUACUCGAGUGGCGAACGGGUGAGUAACACGUGGGUGAUCUGCCCUGCACUUCGGGAUAAGCCUGGGAAACUGGGUCUAAUACCGGAUAGGACCACAUUUUGGAUGGUGUGGUGGAAAGUUUUUCGGUGUGGGAUGAGCUCGCGGCCUAUCAGCUUGUUGGUGGGGUAAUGGCCUACCAAGGCGUCGACGGGUAGCCGGCCUGAGAGGGUGUACGGCCACAUUGGGACUGAGAUACGGCCCAGACUCCUACGGGAGGCAGCAGUGGGGAAUAUUGCACAAUGGGCGCAAGCCUGAUGCAGCGACGCCGCGUGGGGAUGACGGCCUUCGGGUUGUAAACUCCUUUCGCUAGGGACGAAGCGCAAGUGACGGUACCUGGAGAAGAAGCACCGGCUAACUACGUG